CCCCGGCUUAUUCGGCGCCAGCUGUCUCGGCCCCAGGGGGAUCAAUAUAUAUCCCUCCCGAACUCACACUCUCUUCUUUAUAACAUUCUCGCACAAGAAUGGGAGCGCUCCACACACUCUCUUCUUCAGAACAUUCUCGCACAAGAAUCGGAGCGCUCCAUCAACGGUCUCUUCUCUUCUGAACGUUCGUUGCCGAAAUCAAACGCUAGAUAAUUACCAAGCAAUUGGAGGAAGAGAGAGCAGAAUCGAAAGGAGUUUCUCGCCUGAUCCCGGUGAUGAAAAAUAGAGAUGAGAGGAGGACGCCGAACUGUUAUGUAAUUGCGAUUGGUUCCGAGAGGGGAAGAACAAAGCAGCUGCUCUUGAUGAAGUGAUUGCUUGGGCAAAAGAAAAGCAGUUCGUCCUGUCGGGAUUUUCGCAUCUGCUAGGAAUACUGGAGUGGUAGAUAUUGCGUCAUCAAUUUUUGAGACUAUUUGAGUCAAGGGCAGAAUGAUGGCAAUCAAUUUGUUGAAAUCUAAGGAUGGUCCGGUUCAUGUAACGUUUGCUUUAAACAAUUAGGGGUUCAUAAAAUAUAACCACACAACUCACUAAGAUGGAAAUGGAGGACAUAGAUGGAGAUGAUAAAGUUGAGGUCAAGGAAUCUAACUCCGGUUGCUACUUUCAACGCUCACGUAAGAAAGUUUCUACUUAACAUUAUAAACUACCUUAUCUAUAGCCUAAAUCUCAUGAGAAUUACGUUAUUGGCAAUCUUGUGGUCCUAUAUUUAAUCUUUAUUAUAUCUUUGCCUUUUCUUUUU